UUGGCCAUAUUUGCGGUGUGUGUGCGUGUGUGCGCGUGAGAGACUUAAUGGAGUGAGAGGAAUGCGACAACGGGAGGGUCGAGCUGGGUUGGGAGUGCAAGUUCCAUGCCGCACGCUUGCCACACGUAAGGAGGUGCUGACCUCGGCAUUGGAUCCAAAUUAAUGGUGAUCCAUUAGACGCAACGAACAAGUCGAUUCGGCC
rnacentral:lncRNA from 1 species